GGAGCGAACCUGGUGAACUGAAAUAUCUAAGUAACCAGAGGAAAAGAAAUCAACCGAGAUUCCGUAAGUAGCGACGAGCGAACGCGGACUAGCCCUUAAGCUGAUUUGGUUCUAGGAAAACACUCUGGAAAGAGUGGCCAUAGAAGGUGAUAGCCCUGUAUCUGAAAGGGCCAUUUCAGUGAAGACGAGUAGGGCGGGGCACGUGAAACCCUGUCUGAACAUGGGGGGACCAUCCUCCAAGGCUAAAUACUACUGACCGACCGAUAGUGAACCAGUACCGUGAGGGAAAGGCGAAAAGAACCCCGGAGAGGGGAGUGAAAUAGAACCUGAAACCGUGUGCGUACAAGCAGUAGGAGCUCCGCAAGGAGUGACUGCGUACCUUUUGUAUAAUGGGUCAGCGACUUACUGUUCGUGGCAAGCUUAACCGUAUAGGGGAGGCGAAGGGAAACCGAGUCUGAUAAGGGCGCAUAGUCGCGGGCAGUAGACCCGAAACCGGGUGAUCUAGUCAUGCCCAGGGUGAAGGUGCGGUAACACGCACUGGAGGCCCGAACCCACUCCCGUUGCAAAGGUAGGGGAUGAGGUGUGAUUAGGAGUGAAAAGCUAAUCGAACCCGGAGAUAGCUGGUUCUCCUCGAAAGCUAUUUAGGUAGCGCCUCAUAUGUAUCCUCUCGGGGGUAGAGCACUGUUAUGGCUAGGGGGUCAUCGCGACUUACCAAACCAAUUGCAAACUCCGAAUACCGAGACGGACUGUAUGGGAGACAC
rnacentral:rRNA from 1 species